CUCAUUUUCUCCUGCCGCCACCAUCUAAGAAGUGCCUUUCCCCUCCCACUGUGAUUCUGAGGUUUCCCCAGCCAUGUUGAACUAUAACUGGGACAUCAGAGGAAGAAAAAGCAGCAGGCAGAAAAAUACUGGGGAAAAAAUGCCACGUGGUUUUGUUUAGCUGAGCUUCUGCUCCCUCCAGCACCCCCACGUGAGACAUUUGUUUACCCCCACGAUGCUGCUCUUGGAGAGUCCUGGGGGACAGGUUUCAAGCCCUUGGGGAUGCAGCCUGUCUAACUUAAUAUGCACAGCCGUUCACAUCCAGGGCACAGAGGCAGUCUGGCUUUCCCCAGGAGGCCCACGGGAACCACAAUGCUUCAUUUGUCUGGAAAACUGAGACUUAGCUGCACGUUCUUGCUUGAAUGCAGCGGGCCUCCAGCCACAGCCUGCCGACAUGGGGGUUUUCAGGGGAGAUGUGCUUCAUGAGCCAGCAUUUGCUCUUCUUCCCAGUCCCCAGACCCAGCCAAGAUUAUAGAUAGAUGUGCUCAUCACGUGCAGGUGCUGGGGAAGCCAGUGGGACUUCGUUGGCUACAUUCACCAACAGGAUUUCCCAAUUUCAGUUUUCAAACACAUUCCACAUCUGUAUGCCUCACCCAUUCACCGAGCACCUACAAUGUGUGUAAGGCAAUAUUCUCUGUCAUGGGCAGUUAGAAAAGGUCAAAGUCAUGUAAGAUAUGGCAUGUACUCUGAGAGAACUCAUGAUCUAUCCAAAACCUACUCAUCACAUUUGGAAAGAGAAGAGAAACUAACAUUCUAUGGAGUACUUACUAUGUGCCAGAUCUGGAGUGAGGCACAGUACAAGUGUCAUUCAUUUGCAUCUCAUGGCCAACCUCCAAGGUGGACAUUUAGCAUCUCCAUCCUACAAGGGAGAAAUUUAACUGUAGAGAGGUUAAAUAUCACGUCACUGAUUCUGUGAUGUGUAUUAUUUUCACAUUGGACCAUCUGAAAUAUAGAUAUAUCUAAAAGGGCUUUUCUUUCUUCAUAGCAAAAUAACUGUAGGUCUUUGCAGUGGUGUCUUAGAUUCUGUGAAAUAUGGUAUUUUGGCAAGUGAAGAACAAGUGGAAUCAGAAUUCAACUGAGGUUUGCCUGACUCCAAAGCUUGUGUGUUUUCCAGUUUAAUGUGCUGCAGUAUUGGUGGUCUGUAUGAACCAAGGCCAUAUCAUCUUCAUUGACAAAGUAUAAAAACAGGGAAAUGGUGACUGACCUGGAAUGUGCAUCUUCUGAUUCCAUAACUGAGGAGACAAUAGCCCAGGGUACUGUGUGUAUCCAACAGGAUGUUAAACAAUUGGGAAAAUGUUAUUUCAUGAUCUUCGCUUCUCUGUUGAUUAUAACUUAUUUUUGAAGAGGCUAAAAUAAAUGGCAAGCUCUUGUAUGGAUAAGAUAUA